rnacentral:rRNA from 1 species
UACGUAGGGUACAAGCGUUGUCCGGAAUUAUUGGGCGUAAAGAGCUCGUAGGCGGUUCGUCGCGUCUGCUGUGGAAACGCAAGGCUCAACCUUGCGCGUGCAGUGGGUACGGGCGGACUAGAGUGCAGUAGGGGAGUCUGGAAUUCCUGGUGUAGCGGUGGAAUGCGCAGAGAUCAGGAGGAAUACCGAAGGCGAAGGCAGUCUUCCAAGCCGUUAUUGACGCUCAACUGCGAAGGUGUGGGUAUCAAACAGGAUUAGAUA